rnacentral:rRNA from 1 species
ACAGCAGCCGCCACGGGAAUACGGAGGGUGCAAGCGUUAAUCGGAAUUACUGGGCGUAAAGCGCACGCAGGCGGUCUGACAAGUCAGAUGUGAAAUCCCCGGGCUUAACCUGGGAACUGCAUUUGAAACUGUCAGGCUGGAGUCUUGUAGAGGGGGGUAGAAUUCCAGGUGUAGCGGUGAAAUGCGUAGAGAUCUGGAGGAAUACCGGUGGCGAAGGCGGCCCCCUGGACAAAGACUGACGCUCAGGUGCGAAAGCGUGGGGAGCAAACAGGAUUAGAUACCCGAGUAGUCCCUGUCUCUUAUAC